rnacentral:piRNA from 1 species
UGGGUUAACAAGAUAACUGGGGUGG